UAGUUUAAAAGUAUAUUUAUACGUUUGAUUUCCAAUCAAUUAAUAUUAAACUAA
rnacentral:tRNA from 1 species